ensembl:lncRNA
GACCCCAUAGAGACCCAUAGGAUCCCAUAGGGUCCCAUAGGGACCCCACAGAGACCCCAUAAGACCCCAUAGAGAUGCACAGAGACCCCAUAGAGACCCAUAGAGACCUCAUAGGGACCCACAGAGACCCCAUAGUGACCCCAUAGUGCCCCAUAGUGCCCAUAGAGAACCCACAGCACCCCGUAGAGACCCCAUAAAGCCCCAUAGAAACCCCACAGAGCCCCACAGAGACCCCAUAAAGCCCCACAGAGACCCCAUAAUGACCCCAUAGUGCCCCAUAGAGACCCCAUAGUGCCCCAUAAGACCCUACAGUGCCCCCAUAGUGUUCUAUGGAGACCCCACAGUGACCCCAUAGUGCCCCAUAAGACCCAUAGAGACCCAUAAAGCCCCACAGUGACCCCAGAAAGCCCCAUAAGACCCAUAGAGACCCCAUAGAGCCCCAUAGAGACCCCAUAGUUCCCCAUAAGACCCAUAGAGACCCCAUAAAGCCCCACAGAGACCCCAUAGAUUCCCCAUAGAGGCCCCACAGAGCCCCCAUAGUGCCCCUUAAGACCCAUAGAGAUCCCAUAAAGCCCCACAGAGACCCCAUAGAGACCCUAUAAAGCCCCAUAAGACCCACAGUGACCCCUUAGGCCCCAUAGGGACCCCAUAAAGCCCCAUAGAGACCCCACAGUGACCCCAUAGUGCCCCAUAGAGACCACAUAGAGAUCCCAUAGAGACCUCACAGUGCCCCACAGAGCCCCAUAGUGCCCCAUAAGACCCAUAGAAACCCCAUAAAGCCCCACAGAGACCCCAUAGAGACCCCAUAAAGCCCCACAGAGACCCCCAUAGAGACCCCAUAAUGCCCCAUAGGGACCCCAUAGUGCCCCAUAGAGACCCAAUAGAGACCCCAAGAGACCCCAUAAUGCCCCAUAAGACUCAUAGAGACCCCAUAGUGCCCCACAGAGACCCCAAAGUGACCCCACAGAGCCCCAUAGGGACCCCAUAGUGCCCCAUAGGGACCCCAUAGUGCCACAUAGAGACCCCAUAGAGACCCCAUAAUGCCCCAUAGGGACCACACAGUGCCCCCACAGAGCCCCAUAGAGACCCCAUAGUGCCCCAUAAGGUCCAUAGAGACCCCAUAAAGCCCCACCGUGACCCCAUAGUGACCGCACAGAGCCCCAUAGAGACCCCAUACUGCCCCAUAAGACCCACAGAGACCCCAUAAUGCCCCAUAGAGACCCCAUAGAGACCCUAUAUUGACCCCACAGAGACCCCAUAGAGACCCCAUAAAGCCCCAUAGAGACCCCAUAGAGACCUCAUAAAGCCCCACAGAGACCCCAUUAAGCCCCAUAGGGACCCCAUAAAGCCCCACAGAGACCCCAUAGAGACCCCACAGAGCCCCAUAGAGACCCCACAGUGACCCCAUAAAGCCCCACAGAGACCCCAUAGAGACCCCAUAGUGACCCCACAGAGCCCCACAGAGACCCCACAGAGCCCCAUAGAGACCCCACAUUGCCCCGUAGGGAGCCCAUAGAGCCCCAUAAGACCCAUAGUGACCCCAUUAAGCCCCAUAGGGACCCCAUAAAGCCCCAUAAGACCCACAGUGACCCCAUUAAGCCCCAUAGAGACCCCAUAAAGCCCCAUCAGGACCCCAGAGAGCCCCACAGAGACCCCACAGUGCCCCAUAGAGACCACAUAAAGCCCCACAGAGACCCCACAGAGCCCCAUAGAGACCCCACAUUGCCCCAUAGGGACCCCAUAGAGCCCCAUAAGACCCAUAGAGACCCCACAGUGCCCCAUAGAGACCCCAUAAAGCCCCACAGAGACCCCACAGUGCCCCCAUAGGGACCCCAUAGAGCCCCAUAGAGACCCCAUAAUGCCCCAUAGAGACCCCAUAGAGACCCCACAGUGCCCCACAGAGACCCCAUAAAGCCCCAUAAGACCCAUAGUGCCCCAUAAGACUCAUAGAGACCCCAUAAAGCCCCACAGUGACCCCAUUAAGCCCCAUAGGGACCCCAUAAAGCCCCAUAGAGACCCCAUAGAGACCCCACAGAGCCCCACAGAGCCCCACAGAGACCCCACAAUGUCCCCAUAGAGCCCCAUAGAGACCCCACAGUGCCCCACAGAGUCCCCAUAAAGCCCCAUAAGACCCACAGUGGCCCCAUAAAGCCCCAUAGAGACCCCAUAGAGAUCCCACAGUGCCCCAUAGAGACCCCAUAAAGCCCCACAGAGACCCCAUAGAUUCCCCAUAAAGCCCCACAGAGACUCCAUUAAGCCCCAUAGGGACCCCAUAAAGCCCCACAGAGACCCCACAGUGCCCCCAUAGUGACCCCAUAGAGACCCCAUAGAUACCCCAUAGAGCCCCAUAGAGACCCCACAAGGCCCCAUAGAGACCCCACAGAGCCCCACAGAGCCCCACAGAGACCCCACAAUGCCCCCAUAGAGCCCCACAGAGACCCCACAGUGCCCCACAGAGUCCCCAUAAAGCCCCAUAAGACCCACAGUGGCCCCAUAAAGCCCCAUAGAGACCCCACAGAGACCCCACAGAGCCCCAUAGAGACCCCACAUUGCCCCAUAGGGACCCCAUAGAGCCCCAUAAGACCCAUAGAGACCCCACAGUGCCCCAUAGAGACCCCAUAAAGCCCCAUAGAGACCCCACAGUGCCCCCAUAUUGACCCCACAGAGACCCCAUAGAGACCCCUUAAAGCCCCAUAGGGACCCCAUAGUGCCCCACAGAGUCCCCAUAAAGCCCCAUAAGACCCACAGUGGCCCCAUUAAGCCCCAUAGGGACCCCAUAAAGCCCCAUAGAGACCCCAUAGAGACCCCACAGUGCCCCAUAGAGACCCCAUAAAGCCCCACAGAGACCCCACAGAGCCCCAUAGAGACCCCACAUUGCCCCAUAGGGACCCCAUAGAGCCCCAUAAGACCCAUAGAGACCCCACAGUGCCCCAUAGAGACCCAUAGAGACCCCACAGUGCCCCACAGAGCCCCCUUAGUGCCCCAUAAGACCCACAGUGGCCCCAUUAAGACCCAUAGGGACCCCAUAAAGCCCCACAGAGACCCCAUUAAGCCCCAUAGAGACCCCACAGUGCCCCCCAGACACCCCACAACCCCAUUACCGGAGGGGCUUCGGCGGUGUCCCCCGAUCCCAUAACCAGAGCUGUCCAUCCCCUAAAAGGAUGAGGACGGGACCCCCACGGAGACCCCGACAGAACCCCACAAUGGGGCGCGGCAGUGCGGGGUGGCGGCGCAGGCGGUGGAGUCUGUGGGGUC